UACAGAGGUGGCAAGCGUUGUUCGGAAUUACUGGGCGUAAAGGGCGCGUAGGCGGCCUUCUAAGUCAGACGUGAAAUCCCCGGGCUCAACCCGGGAACUGCGUCCGAUACUGGCAGGCUUGAAUCCGGGAGAGGGAUGCGGAAUUCCAGGUGUAGCGGUGAAAUGCGUAGAUAUCGGGAGGAACACCUAUGGCGAAGGCAGCUCGCUGGGACGUUACUGACGCUGAGACGCGAAAAGCGUGGGGAGCAAACAGG
rnacentral:rRNA from 1 species